rnacentral:rRNA from 1 species
UACGUAGGUGGCAAGCGUUAUCCGGAUUUACUGGGUGUAAAGGGCGUGUAGGCGGUUCUGCAAGUCAGAUGUGAAAUCUCCGGGCUUAACCCGGAAGCUGCAUCUGAAACUGCAGAACUUGAGUACUGGAGAGGAUAGUGGAAUUCCCGGUGUAGCGGUGAAAUGCGUAGAGAUCGGGAGGAACACCAGUGGCGAAGGCGGGUAACUGGACUGCAACUGACGCUGAUGCGCGAAAGUGUGGGGAGCAAACAGGAUUAGAUACCCCU